GACGAACGCUGGCGGCGUGCCUAAUACAUGCAAGUUGAGCGCUGAAGGUUGGUACUUGUACCAACUGGAUGAGCAGCGAACGGGUGAGUAACGCGUGGGGAAUCUGCCUUUGAGCGGGGGACAACAUUUGGAAACGAAUGCUAAUACCGCAUAAAAACUUUAAACACAAGUUUUAAGUUUGAAAGAUGCAAUUGCAUCACUCAAAGAUGAUCCCGCGUUGUAUUAGCUAGUUGGUGAGGUAAAGGCUCACCAAGGCGAUGAUACAUAGCCGACCUGAGAGGGUGAUCGGCCACAUUGGGACUGAGACACGGCCCAAACUCCUACGGGAGGCAACAGUAGGGAAUCUUCGGCAAUGGACGAAAGUCUGACCGAGCAACGCCGCGUGAGUGAAGAAGGGUUUCGGAUCGUAAAACUCUGUUGGUAGAGAAGAACGUUGGUGAGAGUGGAAAGCUCAUCAAGUGACGGUAACUACCCAGAAAGGGACGGCUAACUACGUG
rnacentral:rRNA from 1 species